rnacentral:lncRNA from 1 species
AAUAACUUUAGAAAUAAAAAAAUCUCAUAAAAAAUAAGUUAGCAAUGCAUAUAUAUUAUGUGGUUAGACAAAUAUACCCCCAAUUUUAAUGGUUCUCAACGAUAGGUUUAACGGUAGUAAGUUAAAUGAGAAACGAGAUCAAAAGUGAGUGAGUUAACUCAGUUCAGUGAUAUUUUUGAAAUGUAAGUUGUAAUACCCCAUAUCUAAAAGGUUACUGUUCGGGGUUAUGAGUUAUCGCAGAUUUUUCUUUAUUCGCGCUCGGAGAUUUAAAUAAUGAUUGCUCGAAUUUGUUUUCGAGUUUUUCUGAAAAUGGUAAAUAGUGGAUUUAAAACUUCGAAGUCGUGGUACACGUUUAUACGAGCUCACCGGUAUGUCUGGAUUAUUUUCCGGAGCGAUGAGCUAUGUUCUGUGAAUUUAUGAAGUUUACAGUAAAUUUUCAAUUAUUGUUUCUUGUAACCGUUUUAUCGUAAAAGACCUAAAAGUUGACUUUUCGUUAAGUCGAUAAUUUGGGAAAACUUCCUUCAUGGAAGUUGUAGAGGACGUUAAUACGAGUUCGUGGACACAUGGCACGCUCAAAUCGGAGUUCGUAUGAGAAAGUUAUGGUCUAAAAACGGAAAGUUACUAUUUCGGUAAAGGGAAGAAGAUAUUUUUUUUAGAGGAAGAAAGGUCUAGAAGGUUUCGGGGGGAGAAAAGGAGAAGAGUAAAAGAAGGUUCGAGAGAGAAAAAGAAAAGAAAAAGGGGAGAAAAACAGAAAACAUACCGACUCGGGGGAGAGCGACUCGGUAGCGACGGAGCUCAGCUCCCUCCUUUGUCAUCCGGCCGCCUUCCAGUGCAAGGCUAGGAUCCACAGGCCCGUCUCGACGUCCUCAUCCUCCCUGUGAUUCCAUUUUUGAGGAGUGGAGGUCCGGUGAGAGAGAAAAGGAGGAAAGAAGGCGAUUGGGUUUUCGAUCGGAUUUCCGAUACCGGCGACGGGGGCGAGCGUGACCGGUAUUGGCAGCUUGAUCUCGUUCUCCCUGACGUCGCUGUGCUAUUGGAUUUUCAUGGGAAGCUGAGGAGAGAGAGAUU